rnacentral:rRNA from 1 species
AUGCCAUGGCCAUCAUUUAAAUGCUAUUCGGAAGCAACCAGUCCUCAAGGUCCACGUUCAGCAACUCAACAAUGGCGUUCUUCUCAUCAAGCAAGUCAGUCGAAGUGCAUGAAGGCUGGCGAUGCUAUAUCGAACACGGAAUUGAAAGCCCAAGUUUUAUUCACUGGCAUUCUAGUGGAUUUUGUGAGUACGCAAACUGGUAGAGUUUGUGAUUUCUUGAGAACCUUUGCCCAAGAGGAGAAGCUUAACUCUAUUUCUGAAGCGAGCGCACAAGCUCUGAGGCUGUUUUAUGUUGAACUGAUACCUUGGGCUUAUUCUUCAUUACAUUUCAUCAAGCCUUGCAGUUCUGGGCCAGGGAUGCAGAGGUGUGGUGCAACUGGAAGGCUGUCACCUGAAGUGCCAUGUUCUACUAUCAACAUAAUGUUUCUUCCAUGA